UAGUGGCGAACGGGUGAGUAACACGUGGGCAAUCUGCCCUUCACUCUGGGACAAGCCCUGGAAACGGGGUCUAAUACCGGAUAACACUUCGCUGCCGCAUGGCGGGGGGUUAAAAGCUCCGGCGGUGAAGGAUGAGCCCGCGGCCUAUCAGCUUGUUGGUGGGGUGAUGGCCUACCAAGGCGACGACGGGUAGCCGGCCUGAGAGGGCGACCGGCCACACUGGGACUGAGACACGGCCCAGACUCCUACGGGAGGCAGCAGUGGGGAAUAUUGCACAAUGGGCGAAAGCCUGAUGCAGCGACGCCGCGUGAGGGAUGACGGCCUUCGGGUUGUAAACCUCUUUCAGCAGGGAAGAAGCGAGAGUGACGGUACCUGCAGAAGAAGCGCCGGCUAACUACGUGCCAGCAGCCGCGGUAAUACGUAGGGCGCAAGCGUUGUCCGGAAUUAUUGGGCGUAAAGAGCUCGUAGGCNGGCUUGUCACGUCGGAUGUGAAAGCCCGGGGCUUAACCCCGGGUCUGCAUUCGAUACGGGCUAGCUAGAGUGUGGNAGGGGGAGAUCGGAAUUCCU
rnacentral:rRNA from 1 species